rnacentral:lncRNA from 1 species
UCUCCUCCUCCCCAAUCAACUAGGAAGUUACCAAGGAAGAAAUGCUGCGAGGAGCCACGUACAGUGAAAUCUAAUCUGAUGCCAGCUGUCUCAGAAGCAAAGCCAGAGCUACAGAGAGGAGAAACUUUGUGGCAUGUGUUCAAGAAGCAUAAGCUUUCCAUGGAGUAAAACUGACUGAAAGUAAAAGCAUAUGUGUUCCUAUAUUCUCUAGAUACUAUACAUACAACUGGAUUUGUAACUA